rnacentral:rRNA from 1 species
UGCAAGUCGAACGGUAACAGGAAGUAGCUUGCUACUUUGCUGACGAGUGGCGCACGGGUGAGUAAACUAUAGUUAAUGUGCCUCGAAGACUGGGAUAGCCACUGGAAACGGUGAUUAAUACUAGAUACACCUCUUUAGCUCAAGCUAGAGAGGGAAACGUUUUUUCGCUUCGAGAUCAGACUAUAUCCUACCAGUUAGUUGGUGAGGUAAUGGCUCACCAAGGCAAUGACGGGUAGCGGUUCUGAGAGGAUGAUCCGCCACACUGGUACUGAGACACGGACCAGACUCCUACGGGAGGCAGCAGUGAGGAAUAUUGCACAAUGGGGGAAACCCUGAUGCAGCAACGCCGCGUGGAGGAUGACGCAUUUCGGUGUGUAAACUCCUUUUAUAUGUCAAGAAAAUGACGGUAGCAUAUGAAUAAGCACCGGCUAACUCCGUGCCAGCAGCCGCGGUAAUACGGAGGGUGCAAGCGUUACUCGGAAUCACUGGGCGUAAAGGACGCGUAGGCUGUUUUGCAAGUCAGAUGUGAAAUCCAAUGGCUCAACCAUUGAACUGCAUUUGAAACUGCUAGACUAGAGUAUGGGAGGGGGAGAUGGAAUUAGUGGUGUAGGGGUAAAAUCCGUAGAUAUCACUAGGAAUACCUAAAGCGA